rnacentral:rRNA from 1 species
UACGGAGGAUGCAAGCGUUAUCCGGAAUGAUUGGGCGUAAAGCGUCCGCAGGUGACAAUGUAAGUCUGCUGUCAAAGACCGGGGCUUAACUUCGGAAAGGCAGUGGAAACUGAACAGCUAGAGUAUGGUAGGGGCAGAGGGAAUUCCUGGUGUAGCGGUGAAAUGCGUAGAGAUCAGGAGGAACACCAAUGGCGAAGGCAGCUCGCUGGGACGUGACUGACGCUGAGACGCGAAAGCGUGGGGAGCAAACAGG